GAUUUUAUGGAAAUUCAGUAUCUGAGCUCACUUCUCUGGAUGGCAUCUCCUUUUAAAUGAAGGAGGUAAAUUUAAUCGACAAAGAGGUUACGUUGAGGAGCGGCGGUGAAUUAGCCUGUUGGCGAAUCUAUCUAGGGAUUCGACUUUCGACAAUUGCAAAGGGGAUGUGGAAAUGAGGUAGGACACCACAGCAAAAGGAUCAACGAGAGAGAUUUAGUUCCCUUUCGGUGAUGAGGAAAG